rnacentral:rRNA from 1 species
UACGUAGGGUGCGAGCAUUGUCCGGAAUUAUUGGGCGUAAAGAGCUUGUAGGCGGCCUGUCACGUCGGAUGUGAAAGCCCGGGGCUUAACCCCGGGUCUGCAUUCGAUACGGGCAGGCUGGAGUUCGGUAGGGGAGAUCGGAAUUCCUGGUGUAGCGGUGAAAUGCGCAGAUAUCAGGAGGAACACCGGUGGCGAAGGCGGAUCUCUGGGCCGAUACUGACGCUGAGGAGCGAAAGCGUGGGGAGCGAACAGG